rnacentral:rRNA from 1 species
UACGUAGGGGGCAAGCGUUGUCCGGAAUUAUUGGGCGUAAAGAGCGCGUAGGCGGUCCGAUAAGUCGGCUGUGAAAGUCAUGGGCUCAACCCAUGAAAGCCGGCCGAUACUGUCGGACUAGAGUCCGGAAGAGGCGAGUGGAAUUCCCGGUGUAGCGGUGAAAUGCGCAGAUAUCAGGAAGAACACCCGUGGCGAAGGCGGCUCUCUGGGACGGUACUGACGCUGAGACGCGAAAGCGUGGGGAGCGAACAGG